ensembl:lncRNA
GCUUCAUGUCGAAAUAACUGCAUAAAAUCUAAUUCAAUUGAAUUUGUCACAUGCCCUGAAUACAACUGGUGUAGAUUUAACCUUGAUUAUGAGCCAUUCCCAACGAUGCAGUUUAAAAAGUAAUUACAAUAAAAUGGUAACAUACACAAGAAUGGAGCUAUAUACAAGGAGUACCAUACAGCCUGAUUAUGCAACUAUUUCGAUCACUUAUGGCUAUUCUCAACUGUUUGCAUACAAGGUCCAGAAGGGUACAUUAUCAGGCUACUCAUAUGGGGGAUUUUGAUCACACCACGGUGUGUGCGCGCUCUCUCUUCCCGUUUCGUUCCGUUUAAGAAAUAUUUUUUAACAGAAUCAGCGAAAUGUAAAUAGGUUUUCCUUUGGUUUCUGCAUUUUACAUUCAGCAGCCAAGAACAGACUGUAGUAGUAAAUAAAACAAUUGAAAUAAGUGAACAAUAAGCUAUUGCAAGUCUAGUUUUUUCAUGGGACUCCACGAGCUAAAGAGGAUUUAUUAGGAAUACUACUACAGGCCUACCCAAUGAAUUUACACAGUGAAAUAUCUGGUUUAAAAAAAAUCAGAUUUAUAUGAAAUUAGUCAGCCUAAGAUAAACAUAUUGCUCAAAAACAGAGGAGAACAACUCCUAUGCACACAGCUACUCCAGCCAUCCACAUGGACUGUUGUCCUCCCUAUUUGAUAGCAACUCAAACGUCGAUUGAAUUUUUAUUUAACCUUUAUUUAACUAGGCGAGUCAGUUAAGACCAAAUUCUGAUUUACAAUGACGGCCUACCCCAGCCAAACCCUAACCCAAAAUUGUAACGGGUUUCUUCCUGGGAAGGAGAGGAGGACCAAAAUGCAGCGUGGCUAUUGUUAAGCAUCUUUAAUAAAGACGAAAACACUAUACAAAUACAAAAUAAGAAAACGUGGUAAAACCGAAACAGUCCUAACUGGUGCAGAGAACACAGAGACAGGAAACAAUCACCCACAAAAUACUCAAAGAAUAUGGCUGCCUAAAUAUGGUUCCCAAUCAGAGACAAUGAUAAACACCUGCCUCUGAUUGAGAACCACUCCAGGCAACCAUAGACUUACCUAGAACACUAAACUGAACACAACCCCAUUAAUCUACAAAACCCCUAGAUAACACAAAACACAUAAAUCACCCAUGUCAUACCCUGGCCUAACCACAAUAAUAAAGAAAACACAGAAUACUAAGGCCAGGGCGUGACAAAAUUUAUCUCGAUGGUUGUACAGUCGUCUCAAAUAAAACUGUGAAGGACCUCGGCAUUACUCUGGACCCUGAUCUCUCUUUUGAUGAACAUAUCAAGACUGUUUCAAGGACAGCUUUUUUUCCAUCUACGUAACAUUGCAAAAAAUCAGAAACUUUCUGUCCAAAAAUUAUGCAGAAAAAUUUAUCCAUGUUACUUCUAGGUUAGACUACUGCAAUGCUCUACUUUCCUGCUACCCGGAUAAAGCACUAAAUAAACUUCAGUUAGUGCUAAAUACGGCUGCUAGAAUCCUGACUAGAACCAAAAAAUUUGAUCAUAUUACUCCAGUGCUAGCCUCCGUACUGGCUUCCUGUUAAGGCAAGGGCUGAUUUCAAAGUUUUACUGCUAACCUACAAAGCAUUACAUGGGCUUGCGCCUACCUAUCUUUCUGAUUUGGUCCUGCCGUACAUACCUACACAGCCCUAGAAUUUCUAAGCAAACAGCUGGAGGCAGGGCUUUCUCCUAUAGAGCUCAAUUUUUAUGGGAUGGUCUGCUUACCCAUGUGAGAGAAACAGACUCGGUCUCAACCUUUAAGUCUUUACUGAAGACUCAUCUCUUCAGUGGGUCAUAUGAUUGAGUGUAGUCUGGCCCAGGAGUGUGAAGGAGAACGGAAAGGCUCUGGAGCAACGAACCGCCCUUGCUGUCUCUGCCUGGCCGGUUCCCCUCUCUCCACUGGGAUUCUCUGCCUCUAACCCUAUUACAGGGGCUGAGUCACUGGCUUACUGGUGCUCUUUCAUGCCGUCCCUAGGAGGGGUGCGUCACUUGCGUGGGUUGGGUCACUGAUGUGAUCUUCCUGUCUGGGUUGGCGCCCCCCCUGGGUUGUGCCGUGGCGGAGGUCUUUGUGGGCUAUACUCGGCCUUGUCUCAGGAUGGACCUGAGCCCUAGGACCAUGCCUCAGGACUACCUGGCAUGAUGACUUCUUGCUGUUCCCAGUUCACCUGGCCGUACUGCUGCUCCAGUUUCAACUGUUCUGCCUGCGGCUAUGGAAUCCUAACCUGUUCACCGGACGUGCUACCUGUCCCAGACCUGCUGUUUUCAACUCUCUAGAGACAGCAGGAGUGGUAGAGAUACUCCUAGUGAUCGGCUAUGAAAAGCCAACUGACAUUUACUCAUGAGGUGCUGACUUCCUAGCCACCAUGCUUCUACACCUGCAUUGCUUGCUGUUUGGGGUUUUAAGCUGGGUUUCUAUACAGAACUUUGAGAUAUCAGCUGAUGUACGAAGGGCUAUAUAAAUACAUUUGAUUUGAUUUUGAUUUGAUUUGAACCCAGACGACCCUGGGCUAAUUGUGCGCCGGGACUCCUAAUCACAGCCGGUUGUGAUACAGCCUGGAAUCAAACCAGGGUCUGUAGUGACGCCUCUAGCACUAAGAUGCAGUGCCUUUAGACCGCUGCGCCACUCGGGAGCUUUUCACUUUUUUCCGCAUUGAGGAACCAUCUCCAAAAUUCCAUUGAACUUUUCUAGACUCUCUUCAGCAGACAGAGACGGCAAAGAAACGUUUAAAUGAUUGUGAAGAUAACUUUGUUCACAAGCUGUGGUCUUUGUAUAAUUGUGCUAUGCCAUGCAUGUUGAUUAUUUCUGUGCUUUCAAGACAACUGGGAACUAUGGGAAAAAAUGAGGUCAAAUCAGGACAUUGGUGAUGUUCAGGUCGGAAAGUCGGAGCUCUAGAAAGAUGCAUUUAUCCUGAUCUGGUAUUCAUUUGUUAUUAAUAUCGAUAGAGAUAUGGUAUUCUACCUACAAAAAAUCUCCUGUUGAUUAUUUAUUGGCGUAAUGCAUAGCUAGACCUGCAGAUUGUUUGUCAUCAUGUAGGUCUGCCUUUUAAAGGUGUAGGAAGUGGAAACUUGUAUAUUAACAUUUACAUUGAUUAUGCUGCUUGGUUGUACAAAAAAAUGACAUGGUAAAAUGAUAAGCUCGUUAUAAACUAUGAGUUAUGUUACUGGUUUCUUUCAUUUGGAUUCACCCAACAUGGCCGACAUAAUUAUACAAAGAACACUAUAAGGUGAGGCAAUGGUGGUGCAUUCAUAAAUCAUUUAUGUCUAUACAUUUAUUCAGUA